GGAUAUGGGAUUUGGUCUGGAACGAUAUUUCCCUUAAAGCUUCGGUGCUCAAGGAUGAGACUGCACUGGAUUAGGUUGAUGUUAGGGUAAAGUCCUACCAUGCCUAUAAUCCAUAGGGGCCGUGAGAGCGGGAGCCCCCGGACGGGUUCUGAGACACUAACCCGGGCCCUACGGGGCGCAGCAGGUGCGAAACCUCCACAAUGUACGAAAGUGCGAUGGGGGAAUCCUAAGUGCUGGCGCAAUGCGUCAGCUUUUCUCGAGUCUAAAUCGCUUGAGGAAUAAGUGGUGGGUAAGACCGCUGCCAGCCGCCGCGGUAAUAGCGGCGCCACAAGUGGCAUCCAUUUAUAUUGGGUUUAAAGCAUCCGUAGCCGGCCUGAUAAGUCUACUGUGAAAUCCUAUAGAAAACUAUAGGGGCGUGCGGUAGAAACUAUUAUGGCUUGGGACCAGGAGAGGUCAGAGGUACUCCUAGGGUAGCCGGUAAAAAUGCUGGUAAUCCUAGGGGGGACCACCUGUGGGCGAAGGCGUCUGGACUGG
rnacentral:rRNA from 1 species